UACAGAGGGUGCAAGCGUUAAUCGGAAUUACUGGGCGUAAAGCGUGCGUAGACGGUUACAUAAGUCGGGUGUGAAAGCCCGGGCUCAACCUGGGAAUUGCAUUCGAGACUGCGUAGCUAGGGUGCGGAAGAGGGAAGCGGAAUUUCCGGUGUGAGCGGGUGGAAAUGCGUAGAUAUCGGAAGGAAUACCAGUGGCGAAAGCGGCUUCCUGGUCCAGCACCGACGUUCAGGCACGAAAGCGUGGGGAGCAAACAGG
rnacentral:rRNA from 1 species